GAUGAACGCUGGCGGCGUGCCUAAUACAUGCAAGUCGAGCGAACAGAUAAGGAGCUUGCUCCUUUGACGUUAGCGGCGGACGGGUGAGUAACACGUGGAUAACCUACCUAUAAGACUGGGAUAACUUCGGGAAACCGGAGCUAAUACCGGAUAACAUAUUGAACCGCAUGGUUCAAUAGUGAAAGGCGGCUUUGCUGUCACUUAUAGAUGGAUCCGCGCCGUAUUAGCUAGUUGGUAAGGUAACGGCUUACCAAGGCAACGAUACGUAGCCGACCUGAGAGGGUGCUCGCCCCAACGGAAACGGAGACGGGGCCCAGACUCCUACGGGAGGAAGCAGGAGGGAAUCCGCCGCAGUGGGCGAACGCGUGACGGAGCAACGCGGGGUGAGGGAUGAAGGUCGUCGGAUCGUAAAACUUUGUUAUGAGGGAAGAACAAAUGUGUAAGUACCGGGGCACAUCUGGCGGGGCCGGGAGAAAAAGGCCAGGGCAAACUCCGUG
rnacentral:rRNA from 1 species